GACGAACGCUGGCGGCGUGCUUAACACAUGCAAGUCGAACGGGCCUUGUCCCCUUUUUUUUGGGGGUGGGGUUAGUGGCGAACGGGUGAGUAACACGUGAGUAACCUGCCCCUCACUUCUGGAUAACCGCUUGAAAGGGUGGCUAAUACGGGGUGUUCUGGCCUGCUCGCAUGGGUGGGUUUGGAAAGAUUCGGCCGGUUUUGGUUGUUUUGGUGGGGGAUGGGCUCGCGGCCUAUCAGCUUGUUGGUGGGGUGAUGGCCUGUCAGGGCUUUGGCGGGUAGCCGGCCUGAGAGGGUGGGCGGUCACACUGGGACUGAGACACGGCCCAGACUCCUGCGGGAGGCAGCAGUGGAGAAUAUUGCACAAUGGGCGCAAGCCUGAUGCAGCGACGCCGCGUGAGGGAUGGAGGCCUUCGGGUUGUGAACCUCUUUCGCCAGUGAAGAAGGUCCUGCUCUUUGUGGUGGGGUUGACGGUAGCUGGGUUAAUGAAGCGCCGGCUAACUACGUG
rnacentral:rRNA from 1 species